UACGUAGGUCCCGAGCGUUGUCCGGAUUUAUUGGGCGUAAAGCGAGCGCAGGUGGUUUAUUAAGUCUGAUGUAAAAGGCAGUGGCUCAACCAUUGUAUGCAUUGGAAACUGGUAGACUUGAGUGCAGGAGAGGAGAGUGGAAUUCCAUGUGUAGCGGUGAAAUGCGUAGAUAUAUGGAGGAACACCGGUGGCGAAAGCGGCUCUCUGGCCUGUAACUGACACUGAGGCUCGAAAGCGUGGGGAGCAAAUAGG
rnacentral:rRNA from 1 species